CAGCCGUAAACUAUGCUCGCUAGGUGUCAGGCAUGGCGCGACCGUGUCUGGUGCCGCAGGGAAGCCGUGAAGCGAGCCACCUGGGAAGUACGGCCGCAAGGCUGGAAACUUAAAGGAAUUGGCGGGGGAGCACAACAACGGGUGGAGCCUGCGGUUUAAUUGGACUCAACGCCGGACAACUCACCGGGGACGACAGCAAUAUGUAGGCCAGGCUGAAGACCUUGCCUGAAUCGCUGAGAGGAGGUGCAUGGCGUAGACGUGU
rnacentral:rRNA from 1 species